GUGGGUGAUCUGCCUCGCACUCUGGGAUAAGCCUGGGAAACUGGGUCUAAUACCGGAUAUGACCGCGAAUCGCAUGGUUUGUGGUGGAAAGGUUUACUGGUGCGAGAUGGGCCCGCGGCCUAUCAGCUUGUUGGUGGGGUAACGGCCUACCAAGGCGACGACGGGUAGCCGGCCUGAGAGGGCGACCGGCCACACUGGGACUGAGACACGGCCCAGACUCCUACGGGAGGCAGCAGUGGGGAAUAUUGCACAAUGGGCGAAAGCCUGAUGCAGCGACGCCGCGUGAGGGAUGACGGCCUUCGGGUUGUAAACCUCUUUCGACAGGGACGAAGCGCAAGUGACGGUACCUGUAGAAGAAGCACCGGCCAACUACGUGCCAGCAGCCGCGGUAAUACGUAGGGUGCGAGCGUUGUCCGGAAUUACUGGGCGUAAAGAGCUUGUAGGCGGUCUGUCGCGUCGAUCGUGAAAACGUGCAGCUCAACUGCGCGCCUGCGGUCGAUACGGGCAGACUAGAGUACUUCAGGGGAGACUGG
rnacentral:rRNA from 1 species